AACUUUAAAGUAGUUUAAACUUGACCUUCGUGUCCUUGUGUGUCUCAGUCUGUACACUGUGUGCAAAAAACCUCAGUGUCCAGAUGAAACACUGGAUUUGAGAUUUCAGAGUGAUGAC